UGGGGAAUAUUGGACAAUGGGCGAAAGCCUGAUCCAGCAAUGCCGCGUGUGUGAAGAAGGCCUUCGGGUUGUAAAGCACUUUUGUCCGGAAAGAAAUCCUUGGCUCUAAUACAGUCGGGGGAUGACGGUACCGGAAGAAUAAGCACCGGCUAACUACGUGCCAGCAGCCGCGGUAAUACGUAGGGUGCAAGCGUUAAUCGGAAUUACUGGGCGUAAAGCGUGCGCAGGCGGUUUGCUAAGACCGAUGUGAAAUCCCCGGGCUCAACCUGGGAACUGCAUUGGUGACUGGCAGGCUAGAGUAUGGCAGAGGGGGGUAGAAUUCCACGUGUAGCAGUGAAAUGCGUAGAGAUGUGGAGGAAUACCGAUGGCGAAGGCAGCCCCCUGGGCCAAUACUGACGCUCAUGCACGAAAGCGUGGGGAGCAAACAGGAUUAGAUACCCUGGUAGUCCACGCCCUAAACGAUGUCAACUAGUUGUUGGGGAUUCAUUUCCUUAGUAACGUAGCUAACGCGUGAAGUUGACCGCCUGGGGAGUACGGUCGCAAGAUUAAAACUCAAAUGAAUUGACGGGGUCAUAGCUGUUUCCU
rnacentral:rRNA from 1 species